UACGUAGGGGGCUAGCGUUGUCCGGAAUCAUUGGGCGUAAAGCGCGUGUAGGCGGUUCGGUAAGUCCGCUGUGAAAGUCGGGGGCUCAACCCUCGAAAGCCGGUGGAUACUGUCGGGCUAGAGUACGGAAGAGGCGAGUGGAAUUCCUGGUGUAGCGGUGAAAUGCGCAGAUAUCAGGAGGAACACCGGUGGCGAAGGCGGGUCUCUGGGCCGAUACUGACGCUGAUGCGCGAAAGCUAGGGGAGCGAACGGG
rnacentral:rRNA from 1 species